rnacentral:misc_RNA from 1 species
UUUCCGUAGGUGAACCUGCGGAAGGAUCAUUAAAGAAUCGCCCCGUUUUUUACAAAUGGGUUCUAUUCCCAAACCGUGUAUACAUACCUUUGUUGCUUUGGCAGGCCGCCUCCGGGCGUCGGCUCCGGCUGAUAGUGCCUGCCAGAGGACCCAAACUCUGUGUUUAGUGAUGUCUGAGUACUAUAUAAUAGUUAAAACUUUCAACAACGGAUCUCUUGGUUCUG